GAAGAUUGUGCCUCGACCUGUGCCACGCCUGUAUGUUUGUCUGAACGGUGGAACGGGAAUCGGACAUCUGCCAUGCUUUCCACUGCCUUCCUCUCGCGCGCGCAGGCAAGGCAAGGGCUGCGUGCGCUCGGUCAUUGCAAUCAUAACGAUGCUCCACUCCCCAAAUUUGCUGCUGCUAGUUCAUUUUUUGGCUCGUUCGUUUGUUUAUUUGUUCUGUUUUUCCUCUGCAGUGUCCCGUUUUGUUCAUCACGGCAACAAAAUCAAUUAACAGCUUAAGCUGUAAUCCUUCAUCCUUAACAAUUGCA
rnacentral:lncRNA from 1 species